rnacentral:rRNA from 1 species
GACGAACGCUGGCGGCGUGCUUAACACAUGCAAGUCGAACGGAAAGGCCCUGCUUUUGUGGGGUGCUCGAGUGGCGAACGGGUGAAUAACACGUGAGUAACCUGCCCUUGACUUUGGGAUAACUUCAGGAAACUGGGGCUAAUACCGGAUAGGAGCUCCUGCUGCAUGGUGGGGGUUGGAAAGUUUCGGCGGUUGGGGAUGGACUCGCGGCUUAUCAGCUUGUUGGUGGGGUAGUGGCUUACCAAGGCUUUGACGGGUAGCCGGCCUGAGAGGGUGACCGGCCACAAUGGGACUGAGAUAAGGCCCAGACUCCUACGGGGGGCAAGCGGGGGGAAUAUUGCCCAAUGGGGCGGAGCCUGGUGCCACAACGGCCGGUUCGGGAAGACGGCCUUCGGGUUGUAAACCGCUUUCGCCUGUGACGAAGCGUGAGUGACGGUAAUGGGUAAAGAAGCACCGGCUAACUACGUG